rnacentral:rRNA from 1 species
UGGGGAAUAUUGCACAAUGGGCGCAAGCCUGAUGCAGCCAUGCCGCGUGUAUGAAGAAGGCCUUCGGGUUGUAAAGUACUUUCAGCGGGAGGAAGGAUGUUGAGGUUAAUAACCUCAGCAAUUGACGUUACCCGCAGAAGAAGACAACCGGCUAACCGUCCGUAGCCAGCAGCCGCGGGUAAUACGGAGGGUGCAAGCGUUAAUCGGAAUUACUGGGCGUAAAGCGCACGCAGGCGGUCUGUCAAGUCGGAUGUGAAAUCCCCCGGGCUCAACCUGGGAACUGCAUUCGAAACUGGCAGGCUGGAGUCUUGUAGA